rnacentral:rRNA from 1 species
UACGUAGGGUGCAAGCGUUGUCCGGAAUUAUUGGGCGUAAAGAGCUCGUAGGCGGUUUGUCGCGUCGAAUGUGAAAACCCGGGGCUCAACCCCGGGCCUGCAUUCGAUACGGGCAGACUAGAGUUCGGUAGGGGAGUCUGGAAUUCGUGGUGUAGCGGUGAAAUGCGCAGAUAUCAGGAGGAACACCGGUGGCGAAGGCGGUUCUCUGGGCAUUACCUGACGCUGAGGAGCGAAAGUGUGGGGAGCGAACAGG